rnacentral:rRNA from 1 species
CCCUGCCAUUUGUACACACCGCCCGUCGCUACUACCGAUUGAAUGAUUUAGUGAGGUCUUUGGACUGGCCAGCAUCAGAUGGGGUAAAAGCCAUCUACGCUUGGCUGGGAAGAUGAUCGAACUUGAUC